rnacentral:lncRNA from 1 species
GUUCCAUAAGAAAAGGAAGAUAUGAAAAAAUUACGUUUUAUUGUUUACGUUUAUGUUAAAAAAAAACUGAAAACAUUUUGAAUACAAAAAACAAACAAACAAACCUCAAGGAAUGAAAUUACAAUUAUAUGGGAUAUUUAAGAACUACAAUACUGAUAUUAUAGUGCAUCUUAAAGGGACACCCUAUGUUGGAUUCAACAUCCCCUUUUAGUAGCAUUGCUAAAAAUAAUACUCGUCUCGGACAACACAGGAUCUCCUGCUCAUGUGCUGAUAAGUUGUUCAAACAGGAAAUGGCUGAAAUCACUCUGCCAAUCCCAGUUCCCUUUUCAUACUUUGUCAGGGAACUGCAUGCUUCUCAUAUAACAAAAUCAUUAAUGAUAUACACACAGUAGCAUGUACACAUGCAAUCGUGGACCCAUUUGUCACGUCACAUUCAACAACAAAAUACAAUUAUUGUGUAUAUAUUUAUAUAUAAUAUGCACUCACACAGGGGCUUCAAAUCAUAAAGGGUGAGUACUUAUUGUAUACAUAUCUUUUAUGAAUGAAUGUGUGGAGCUAUGGCCCAAGUGAUUGUAUCAGCUGAUGUAAGAAUCGUACUUCUGACAAUGUGCAAAUAAAAUUGAAAUGAUUUUUCCAUGAUAAUCUAUCAAAGGCAAUCCUGCACCCUUGGUACCAGAUGUGUUCCUUUAAUUAUAUUCAGUACGGUUAUGUGUUUAAAAAAAAAAAAAAAAAUCAAAAAUAAAUCGUGAAAUAUUUUUUUUACAGUCUUGAAAAAAAAAAUAUGAUUCACAAUGCUGAGUAAAAGCAUAAGCAAGUCAUGGAAUUUGAAUAUAUCUAAUAUACUAAAGUAGUGGUUCCCAAAACAGUCCUCUUGACCCAGCAACAAUCCUUGUUAUAUUAGUAUCUCCAUUCUAAUAGAAAAGCAAACCAUAUAAAUCCUGGACUGUUGUUGGACUGUGAGGACUAGUUUGGGUACCACUGUUAAAGGAACCUCUAGGUUGUGCCAUCUAUAAAGACAAUGGUAGGGCAAAUAAAAUCUAAUUGCAAAGUUUAUGCCACAAUUUAAAACAAAUUAUAAUAAUUUAUUUUACAGUUAAAAGUCUAGAAUUUGUCUUUUUUUGAGUUUAAGAAUUUUUGCAGCUCUACAAUGUUCGUCUGAUAAUAAACUAAUGGUCCACAGAUUCUAUUGUUUUUUUUUGUGUGGUUCCAUUCACUUAUUGAAAAGAAGGAAAAAUCCUAGCUGCUCUUACAUUGCAUGGCAGGGCUUAUGGGGUAUAGUCAGCUUUUACAAAUAUAACAAUGAGAUGACAAGUACUGUCUGACAAAAUUCAGCUACUUCAUGGUUCUGAUAGAAACUGUCGAUUAUAAGAAAUUUACAGAAAUUUAAGGUGAGCGUCUUUGGCAGAAGGCUUGUAAAAAAAGAGAAGACAGACAAAUCCAGUUUGAAGUAUUCUCUUAUUUUUGCUAAACUAUGAAUACAAAAAUAUUCGGUUUUGUUUCUUAUUAAGACAAGUAGGAUACAGAAGCAGUCAAAAUGGGGAACCUGCCCCCACUACAUAACCUGUUACCAUACAAAAUACACCGCCAUUAAAGAAGGUGUGAAAAUCAUAUGUUAUUUAAAUUAUUCACUAACUGGAGAACUGACAAGAGAACUGCAAAUGUUAGGCCAAAAUAGUCACAGUGGAAAUAAAACCGAAUUGAAGAAUUACCAGUUCGUCUAUUUUAUUUCCUUGGUCAACUCUCCAGAAUUCCCAUUCAAAUGGACACUAUAGUCACCAGAACAAUGUAGUUCUGUUGUGUAUAGCUUGUCCCUGCGGGCUUUUCAAUGUUCAGGGAAAAGGAAGUGUGCAAUAUGGGCAUUCAGUGGCUCCACGCUCUGCAUGGAGGUGCUGAAUGUUCCCCAAACAGAUACACUGAUUCAAGGCAUCUCUAUAAGGAGAUGCUGAUUGGUACAGUGUUUUGCUGCACAUGCGCAAUAGCCUCCAAAUGCUUUUGUAUCAGAAAGCAUUGGAUUGGCAGAAAUCAUCAAGACUGAUGAUCUCAGUCACGGAGGCGGAGCAAAGCCGGGCAAGCCGCGGCGAGACUUGGGCAGCAUGGGAAAAAAUGUAAACUCACCUUUUCACUGCUUUGAUGGGGGGAGCAGUGACCUAGACAGCCACACCAGCACUAUAGUAUCAGGAAUACAUGUUAGUAUUCCUGAUACUAAGGUGCCCCUUUAAGUGAAUAACUGCAUUAAAAAGGGCCUCAUUUGCAAUAACCCUCAAAUGCUAGGUUUUCAAGGGGCGCCAACUUCAGUUUCAUUGGAAUGCCCUUUAAAAUUAGUUACUGUACAAUAUAUUAUAAAUAUUAUGCAGGAAAAACUAAAAUUCCUGUGCAUUUAACACAUACUACAGACAAAACAAACCAAAUUUUAAAUACAGUAAUGUUACCACCUUAGUAACCCAACACAUUGGUCACACAGUAUAUGAUUAUAGUGAUAAUAUUAAAAAGUGGCAAUAGUAAGACAUAUUUUGAAAUUUAAGUGAAAUAUGCAAAAAAAAUUAUGAUUUACUAGUUCUGCUAGCAUUUUUUUUGUUUUACCUUUUCUCUUAUGUUUGACACUAUUUGAAAUUAUUCACUUAACUAGAAGUUAUAAAGGUACCACAAAUUCAAAGAUCAAAACAGCCAGAUUUUCAAAAAUUCUUUAACACAGCUAUUUUCCGACUCAAAUAUUCGGGCCUAAAACAUGUAAUUGCAUUGUCAUUUUUUCACAGUUUAUUAAAUACACUCCAUUGUGACUAUUGGCACCAUUUUUAUAAAAUAUCCAGUUAUGGAUUUCUGAGGAGAAUCAGUCAUGCUAUAUGUAGGGAUUUAUUCUUAAUCAGUUGUGCUUAUUGAAAAAGAAUGAUUAUUAACGUAAUGGGGUAAUGAUGAGAAUUCAGAAAAAUUGGGUGGAAAUGUCCAAACUGGAAGAAUUCUCAAAUCCGUGGUCAAUUCCUCAUUUUAUUCAUAACUCAGUGAGUUUCAUAAUUGAUGCAAAAUAGAGCAGUGUUGGGAAAAUACUUAACUCAACUAAGCUGGGAAUUUUUCUCAGCUAUUUAGACCUACAUUUGGAUAUCAUCUUACAGUUGAAUGAUUAAAAUCCAAAUUUAGGCUAAUAAAGCCAGGCUCUGACUAUAGACUACUUGGAUAUGUUUUUAAUCAGUUAUUUUUGCGUUCAUUCUACAAUUGAGUUUUUCGUGUCACUACAACUCAUAGUUUAGUGAAUAAAUCCCACAGGGGAUUCAGCAUCCAAAGAAAAUUUCUAAUUUUAAGCCAAAACAAACUGAAAAGAUUGAGAAUUUUGGGCAGUAAUUUGUCCAACCCAUCAGAUUAAGAUUCUUAACUUCUAAAUGAACAAUGACUGUUUAGGCUAAAUUAUCUUACCAGAAUAAAGGUAAAUGAACAAUGACUGUUUAGGCUAAAUUAUUUUACCAGAAUAAAGGUUUACUCUGCUUACUACACCUCCACUGAAAUCUGUAUGUAGAGCUAGUCAGCAAAGAUUUUGUUCUCAAAUAGAACCCCCCCAUAUUUUUGUUUUACAAUAAUGUUGUCUUGAAUUGCAGAUGCAAAUAAGCAGGACAUUCUAUGCUAGCGCACCAGAUCUGUAGGACCGUAAUGUGAUUACGGUAAAAGUAUCAGCUGUCACUAAGUGGGUAAGACAAAUGAACCAAUCCUUGACAAUGCUGGUUAUUAUUAAAAUAAGUACCAUUUUCCCCCCCAUGAUUUUCUUAAGGCACAAACAUUUUCACUACUUCCAAUAAUAUGCACUCUUACAUAUUGUAAAAGCAAUGUCAAAAAAC